GACGAACGCUGGCGGCGUGCUUAACACAUGCAAGUCGAACGGUAAGGCCCUUCGGGGUACACGAGUGGCGAACGGGUGAGUAACACGUGGGUGAUCUGCCCUGCACUUCGGGAUAAGCCUGGGAAACUGGGUCUAAUACCGGAUAGGACUUCGGACUGCAUGGUUUGGGGUGGAAAGGUUUUGCGGUGUGGGAUGGGCCCGCGGCCUAUAAGCUGGUUGGUGGGGUGAUGGCCUACCAAGGCAACGACGGGUAGCAGGCCGGUGAGAGGUUGCCCGGCCACACUGGGACUGAGAUACUGCCCAGUCUCCUACGGGAGGCAGCAGUGGGGAAUAUUGCACAAUGGGCGCAAGCCUGAUGCAGCGACGCCGCGUGAGGGAUGACGGCCUUCGGGUUGUAAACCUCUUUCAGCAUCGACGAAGCGAAAGUGACGGUAGGUGCAGAAGAAGGACCGGCCAACUACGUGCAAGCCGCCGCCGUAA
rnacentral:rRNA from 1 species